UACGUAGGGGGGCAACGUUGUCCGGAACUAUUGGGCGUAAAGAGCGCGCAGGCGGUCGUUCAAGUCGCGUGUGAAAGCCCCCGGCUCAACUGGGGAGGGUCACGCGAUACUGAUCGACUCGAAGGCAGGAGAGGGUAGUGGAAUUCCCGGUGUAGUGGUGAAAAUGCGUAGAUAUCGGGAGGAACACCAGUGGCGAAGGCGACUACCUGGCCUGUUCUUGACGCUGAGGCGCGAAAGCUAGGGGAGCAAACGGG
rnacentral:rRNA from 1 species